rnacentral:misc_RNA from 1 species
GAUGAAGAACGCAGCGAAAUGCGAUAAGUAAUGUGAAUUGCAGAAUUCAGUGAAUCAUCGAAUCUUUGAACGCACAUUGCGCCCUCUGGUAUUCCGGGGGGCAUGCCUGUUCGAGCGUCAUUAUAACCACUCAAGCUCUCGCUUGGUAUUGGGGUUCGCGGUUCCGCGGCCCCUAAAAUCAGUGGCGGUGCCUGUCGGCUCUACGCGUAGUAAUACUCCUCGCGAUUGAGUCCGGUAGGUCUACUUGCCAGCAACCCCCAAUUUUUACAGGUUGACCUCGGAUCAGGUAGGGAUACCCGCUGAACUUAAGCAUAUCAAUAAGCGAGGA